rnacentral:rRNA from 1 species
UACGUAGGGGGCGAGCGUUGUCCGGAUUUAUUGGGCGUAAAGAGCGUGUAGGCGGCCAGGUAGGUCUGCUGUGAAAACUCGAGGCUCAACCUCGAGACGUCGGCGGAAACCAUCUGGCUAGAGUCCGGAAGAGGAGAGUGGAAUUCCUGGUGUAGCGGUGAAAUGCGCAGAUAUCGGGAGGAACACCAAUGGCGAAGGCAGCUCGCUGGGACGUUACUGACGCUGAGACGCGAAAGCGUGGGGAGCAAACGGG